UGAAAAAUGCUCGGGCUUGAGCCUAAGCUACAAACAACCAGAUCCGAGUCCAAGUCUUAAUACACAAAUCAGCUCCAAACCAAAGUUUCCAAGCCAAACAAAACAAAGCCUCGUGAAGCAGAAGAAUGCUAACAUCCACCAUCGUUUUCACACUUCUCAGAUGCUCACACUCUCAUCUCCAAAAUUCAAAACGCGAGCCAAAACACGCAUAUCCUUCUCCUUCACUUUCAAUUCUAAGAAAUCAGCGUAACAUUGAAUCCAGAUUUACAAUGUAACUUCUCCAAAUCGAAUCGAAACUGAAAUCGAAAACUCCAAAUCAAUUUGUAUCUUGCACGCGAAAUCGAGGAGGAUCGGAAUCGAGGAGUAACGCGAGCAGAUAGUGGAUGAAAUUGAUAAUUGGAGCAAGAAGACUUACCGAAUCGGAUUUCGGCACAGAGGCUAUAGGUUAUUGUUUGGCUGAGCUUGAUCGAGUUUAGACAUGGUUUGGCUGAGCUUGAUGGAAUGCAAUGGAGUGCCUUUGCUUGCUUGGAAUCGAUUUUUGGACAAUUUCAUUUGGGAUUGAAUGUUUUAAUUUUGGAAUUGGUUGAAUGUUGUAAUGACAUUUGGAUGUUAAUUGUGAAUGGAAUUUGGUUUGAAAUUGUAAAUUGGUGGUUGAAUUGUAAUUGAAAUUUGAAGGUUAGUUUGAAAUGAAAGUAAUUUGAUUUUGGUUUAAAAUGGAA